rnacentral:rRNA from 1 species
GACGUAGGGGGCGAGCGUUGUCCGGAUUUAUUGGGCGUAAAGAGCGCGUAGGCGGCCCGUUAAGUCGGAUGUGAAAACCCGUGGCUCAACCACGGGCCUGCAUCCGAUACUGGCGGGCUCGAGGCAGGCAGGGGAGAUCGGAAUUCCUGGUGUAGCGGUGAAAUUCGUAGAUAUUCGGAGGAACACCAGUGGCGAAGGCGGCUCACUGGUCCGGUACUGACGCUGAGGUGCGAAAGCGUGGGGAGCAAACAGG